AUUGAACGCUGGCGGCAGGCCUAACACAUGCAAGUCGAGCGAGCGGCGCACGGGUGAGUAAUGUCUGUGAAACUGCCUGAUGUAGCGGGAUAACUCCUGUAAACGGUAGCUCUUACCGCAUACCCUCAGACUUGCCCAGAUGGGAUUAGCUAGUAGGUGGGGUAACGGCUCACCUAGGCGACGAUCCCUAGCUGGUCUGAGAGGAGGACCAGCCACACUGGAACUGAGACACGGUCCAGACUCCUACGGGAGGCAGCAGUGGGGAAUAUUGGACAAUGGGGGAAAGCCUGAUGCAGCCAUGCCGCGUGUGUGAAGAAGGCCUUCGGGUUGUAAAGCACUUUCAGCGGGGAGGCGUUACCCGCAGAAGAAGCACCGGCUAACUCCGUGCCAGCAGCCGCGGUAAUAC
rnacentral:rRNA from 1 species